GUUCGAUUCACGAUCAGAGAUUGAACGCUGGCGGGAUCUUUUACACAUGCAAGUCGAACGGCAGCACGGACUUCGGUCUGGUGGCGAGUGGCGAACGGGUGAAUGUAUCGGAACGUGCCUAGUAGCGGGGAUAACUACGAAAGCGUAGCUAAUACCAUACGCCCUUCGGGGAAAGCAGGGGACCUUCGGGCCUCGCACUAUUAGAAGCGGCCGAUAUCGGAUUAGUAGUUGGUGGGGUAACGGCUCACCAGGGGCGACGAUCCGUAGCUGGUUUGAGAGGACGACCAGCCACACUGGGACUGAGACACGGCCCAGACUCCUACGGGAGGCAACAGUGGGGAAUUUUGGACAAUGGAAACCUGAUCCAGCCAUCCCGCGUGUGCGAUGAAGGCCUUCGGGUUGUAAAGCACUUUUGGCAGGAAAACGGCCUGGGAUAAUACCCCCGUGCAACUGACAGUACCUGCAGAAUAAGCACCGGCUAACUACGUGCCAGCAGCGCGGUAAUACGUAGGGUGCAAGCGUUAAUCGGAAUUACUGGGCGUAAAGCGUGCGCAGGCGGUUCGGAAAGAAGAUGUGAAAUCCCAGAGCUUAACUUUGGAACUGCAUUUUUAACUACCGAGCUAGAGUGUGUCAGAGGGAGGUGGAAUUCCGCGUGUAGCAGUGAAAUGCGUAGAUAUGCGGAGGAACACCGAUGGCAGAGAGCGGCCUCCUGGGAUGCUGCGAGCGCUCAUGCACGAAAGCGUGGGAGCAAACAGGAUUAGAUACCUGAAAGUCCACGCCCUAAACGAUGUCAACUAGCUGUUGGGGCCUUCGGGCCUUGGUAGCGCAACUAACGCGUGAAGUUGACCGCCUGGGGAGUACGGUCGCAAGAUUAAAACUCAAAGGAAUUGACGGGGACCCGCACAAGCGGUGGAUGAUGUGGAUUAAUUCGAUGCAACGCGAAAAACCUUACCUACCCUUGACAUGUGGAAUCCCGAAGAGAUUUGGGAGUGCUCGCAAGAGAACCGGAACACAGGUGCUGCAUGGCUGUCGUCAGCUCCGUGUCGUGAGAUGUUGGGUUAAGUCCCGCAACGAGCGCAACCCAUGUCAUUAGUUGCUACGAAAGGGCACUCUAAUGAGACUGCCGGUGACAAACCGGAGGAAGGUGGGGAUGACGUCAAGUCCUCAUGGCCCUUAUAGGUAGGGCUUCACACGUCAUACAAUGGGUCGGAACAGAGGGUCGCCAACCCGCGAGAGGCCAAUCCCAGAAACCCGAUCGUAGUCCGGAUCGCAGUCUGCAACUCGACUGCGUGAAGUCAGGAAUCGCUAGUAAUCGCGGAUCAGCAUGUCGCGGUGAAUACGUUCCGGGUCUUGUACACCGCCCGUCACACCAUGGGAGUGGGUUUUACCAGAAGUAGUUAGCUAACCGUAAGGAGGGCGAUUACCACGGUAGGAUUCAUGACUGGGGUGAAGUCGUAACAAGGUAG
rnacentral:rRNA from 1 species